rfam:Oxobacter pfennigii strain DSM 3222 OXPF_contig000051, whole genome shotgun sequence.
AAGCCGGCAUCAAAAAUUGAGCCGGACUACAAAAAAUUUAUUUAUUAAUUUGUCCGGUAUCUUAAAAAGAACUGGAACAGGAG